rnacentral:rRNA from 1 species
UGAGUAAUAUAUCGGAACGUUACCUUCAGGUGGGGAUAACGUAGCGAAAGUUACGCUAAUACCGCAUAUUCUGUGAGCAGGAAAGCAGGGGGAUCGCAAGACCUUGCGCUGAUUGAGCGGCCGAUAUCAGAUUAGCUAGUUGGUGAGGUAAAGGCUCACCAAGGCGACGAUCUGUAGCGGGUCUGAGAGGAUGAUCCGCCACACUGGAACUGAGACACGGUCCAGACUCCUACGGGAGGCAGCAGUGGGGAAUUUUUGGACAAUGGGCGCAAGCCUGAUCCAGCCAUGCCGCGUGAGUGAAGAAGGCCUUCGGGUUGUAAAGCUCUUUCGGCCGGGAAGAAAUCGCACAGGUUAAUACCCUGUGUGGAUGACGGUACCGGAAUAAGAAGCACCGGCUAACUACGUG